UUUGUUUACUCUCUAAAUAUUUCAACAAGAAGCUUCCUUUUUGUCAAACUCACGCGAGGAUGCAGAAGUCAUGGGUGGACGGGACCCCCGUGGUGUUUUCAUAGUGGGGGCCAUCGGCCCGUUGACUCCAGCCAUGAUGGUGUGCUUUGUCUCGACGGUCGUUUGUGGUCUGAAAGGUUCUCUGUCAAAGAAUGGCAGUCUCUGGGUUUCUGACGAAGUUCUGUGGUCUAUUUUUGGUCUCUGCGGAGCUGCAGCUUCUCUUGCGGGUUGAGGUGGACUGUGCUGGAGCGAUCCAUUUUGACUGUCCUCGCAGAUGCGACUUAAGAGUUUCUUCUCGAGGGCUGAAACGAUUAAUCAUUGUCAACAAAUGAGGGGUCUUAAAGUCGUCAAUGAGGUACACGUGGUCACUGUCUGGUUCUGAAGCCAUGAGGUCCAGUUCCUUCCUGAACUCCACAAACAGCGGGUCGCUGGUGUUGACCACCCCGAUCACAAACAUCUCGAUGUUACUUCCCUGGGCUUCCCUCACCGCGCUCUCCAGACUGACCGAGUCCCUCUUGUCGGCCUGGCCGUCCGUGAUGACGAUCGCCAACUUCCUUACUCCCGCUCUGGCCGCUCGGAAAACCUGAUUGGCCCGCUGGAUGGCGCUGCCUGUAAAGGUGCCCUCGCCCAGGACGACCCCCACCCGUGUGGUGUCCCUGGCCACAGAUGCCCGGUCGACAAGGGUGCUCACAAAGUCCUUGAUGAUAUUGAAGUUGUCUGGACCCACACUUUCGGAGCUGUCGAUUACAAAGACCAGUUCCAAGGGGCUUUGGCGGCAUGUCACCCCGCAAUCUGAGGCAUAAGAUGGAGACCAAGACUUCAUCGCACAGCAAAAGUCCUGGUAUUCCCACACCUGGAGCUCCUCUGGGGCCCGUGGGUCCUGCAGGGCCUUGGUCACCCUGAAGGAAAAAUGUGCAGACUGACCCACCCACCUUUGGCCCUGCAGGACCCUCUCCAGGUGGUCCAGGGUUUCCUCGUAGUCCCGGUGGUCCAAGAGGACCCUGAAACAGACAGCCAGCGUUGCCUCAAGCAUGUACAGUAGACAUCACCUUGGCUCCUGGAAAGCCAAUACCAAAGUCACCCGGUGGACCAGGGUCACCACCAGGCCCUCGAUCGCCCUGCAACAGGACAACAUUGACGUAAGUAUCAGCAAGUAUGUUUACAUUCUUCUACAAUGUAUGUUAUUAACGCAGUGUUGAAAAAAUAAAACACGUAAAGGUAUUCAGCUCUAUUUAUUCUAAUGCAGCCU